UUUUCCAGCUGCAGUGGGAGUGGAGUUGGCAUUGGAGCACAAUCAGUCAUUCCUGCUACAGCCAAGAGGGAUCAGAUGUACUGCAGAGAAAACCAAACUCCAACAGAUAAGUGCUGAACUUAUCAAACCAUGCUCUUGGUGACUGUUUUAGGCCAUAGAUAGACUUAUGUAGAUGACAAACAUCAUUUGGUCUUGCAGGGUCAACAAAACCAGCUGGCUGAGUCAUGUAAACUGUUUCUGUAAGAUCUCCAUGUUUCAAGAUAGUCUAUACCUUCUUCUUGGUUAUAGCCUUUUGCAACAAGUCUGGCCCUAAGCUUGUCAAGAGAGCCAUCAGCAUUGAGCUUAGUUUUGAAGACCCAUUUGUGGCCAAGAACAUGCAUAUUUGAUGUCCGAGGAUGCUGAACUGUAGCUUGUAUUGGAGCAGAUGGAGCUAUUGGAGAAGAUGAGGCUUCUGCAGUGGGGUUCCUGUCAGUAGCAAUACUUGAUGACACAAUGGAAGUCCUAUCAGUAGCUGUAUCUGAUGAUGGUACAGAGCUGUUGCCUAUAGGAAACAGAUCAAAGCUAUCCGUACACCCAGAACUCAGACCAUCAACAGGUACAGGAGACUGAAGAACAACAUUGGAGCAGGCAGGAUCAAUAGGCAGUGUAUAGAGGAGUAGACAAUGUCAGUUUGGAUGACAUAAGAGAAUGGAAGGAAAACAUUUGUUCAUCAAAAAUGACAUGCCUGCUGAUGUAGAUGCGACCAGUUGCAGGCACAACCAAAGACACGAAGAGAGGAGUAUUCAGGCUUGUGACCAAAGAGAACUUCAUAGGGACUCAUCUUAUUGUCUAGGACUGAAGAGGGCAGGAUAUUACUCAGAAAGUUGGCCGUGUAGAAAGCUUCAACCCAAUACUUGAGAGGCAUAUUGCUCUGAUACAUCAUAGACAGCCCCAACUCUAUAAGGUCCCCAUAGAUCACAGUGGAUUCUCUGAAGAGGCCUUGAGGUGACAGUUGAAGAAGCAGAGAAAGGUAAUCUUGAACUCUUCCCAAGCUGACAUGCUUCACAUAUCUUCUUGGUGCUUUUAUUGAUGUUGAUAGCUUUAUUAUUUGAUAAAUGGUGAAGGAUCUGAGAAUUAAGAUGACCAAGCCUCAUAUGCCAGACAUCUUCAGCAGCUGAAUGUUGUCUAGUUGAGUAGAAGGCUUUAACAACGGUGUCCUUCACAAUAUAGUGACCUUUACUGUGACUUCCCUGGACCAGCAACUGUUUUGUGGCCUUAUCAAGUACACGCACAACAUCACAAUCAAACUCAACAGUACAUGGAUAAUCAUGGGUUGUGAGGAGCACUGGUAAUAUGAGAGGUGGAGCCAGAAUCAGGAACCCAUUCAUGGCCAGCAUGAUCUGUAACAUCAGUGAUCCUCAUGGCAGUGAGAGCAGUUGGUAGGUCUUCAUAUUGAUAACUGUUGUUGAACCUAUGCCAACAUUUGAGUGCUGGAUGACCUUGUUUGCCACAGAUCUGACAGGUAACCUUGUUUGUUGUGUUGUAGGAACCAGAGGAAUCUGAACCCGGAGAGAUUUGUUGAUGAAAGCCUCUGCCUUUGGUGGAGUAGGAGUCUCCUCUGCCUCUAGAACCACCAGAUCUGCCUCUCCCUCGACCACCAGAAUAGUUUGUGUAAAAGGCUAAGUGAGGAGAAGCCUCAAGAUUUGUGCUGUAACUAGACAAUCUGUCUGCAUAGCUUGUGAGUCUAGAGGUAACAUCAUCAAAACUGGGAGCAGGAGACAAAUCUAUCAUUCCUUCAAUAGAUACUUUAACAGGUUCAUAUUCCCUUCCUAAUCCUUUCAGAGCAGCAAAAAUUUUCAUUUUUUCUGGAACUGGACUGCCUAUUGAAGCCAGUUGCUCACAAACACUUUUGAUAUCACGCAGAUAAUCAGCCAUAGGUCUAUCUAGCUUCUCAGAGGUUUGAAGUUUACUCUAAAGUUCAAAAAGCCUUGAAGAAGAUACCUUGUUGAAGUGUUUUGCCAGAGCUAACCAUAACUCCUGUGAGGUUGUAGUGCCAGUGACCUCAGCAAGAAUUUCUUCAGAGAGAGAGCCAAGCAGCCAAGCACGAACGAUCUGAUCUGCACGGAACCAUUCACCAUGGUCUGGAUUUGGAACUGAUGCAGCUAUGCCAGCAAUGUGUUGCACAAGAAUGGUUGCAGGUGGAGCUGGAAUGGAUCCAUUCACAAAGCCAAGAUACGUAUAAAGGUCCAGGGAUUGUUUGCCCAUGGCCUCUGAUACCAUAAACGUAAUAGAGCCCUAAGGCUAGAACAUGAAAGAUAAG